CCAGCCGGCCGGGCGGCCGCUCCCGUCAUAAGUCGAAAGACGGCGGGGGAGGAAAGUCCGGGCUCCACGGAGAAACGGUGCCGGGUAACGCCCGGCGGGGGCGACCCCAGGGAAAGUGCCACAGAAAACAAACCGCCCUUCGCUUCGUGCAAGGGGUAAGGGUGAAACGGUGGGGUAAGAGCCCACCGCGCUUCCAGCAAUGGCGGCGGCAGGGCAAACCCCACCGGGAGCAAGACCGAAUAGGAACGACGCGGCGGGAAACCGCCAGCCCUCUCCGGGUCGAUCGUUCGGGUGGGUUGCUUGAGGUGCCGCGCGAGCGGCAUCCCAGAGGAAUGGUCGCCGGACGGCGCAAGCCGUCGCACAGAACCCGGCUUAUAGGCCGGCUGGCUCU
rnacentral:RNase_P_RNA from 2 species